UACGGAGGGUGCAAGCGUUGUUCGGAUUUAUUGGGCGUAAAGCGCGUGUAGGCGGUUUCUUAAGUCUGAUGUGAAAGCCCUGGGCUCAACCCAGGAAGUGCAUUGGAUACUGGGAGACUUGAAUACGGGAGAGGGUAGUGGAAUUCCUAGUGUAGGAGUGAAAUCCGUAGAUAUUAGGAGGAACACCGGUGGCGAAGGCGGCUACCUGGACAGAUAUUGACGCUGAGACGCGAAAGCGUGGGGAGCAAACAGG
rnacentral:rRNA from 1 species